GCUACGGUAGCUCAGCGGUAGAGCGUGUGCUUGACAUGCACAAGGUCGUGGGUUCGAAACCCAUCCGAAGUA
rnacentral:tRNA from 1 species